CGGAGGGCCCAUCGUGCGCCGGCCUGUGGGCACAGUUCACGCUGAAUCCGAAGCCCCUAGCGUGGUGCCUAUGCUGACUUAACAGGCUUCCCAGAUGGCUCCUCUGAUCAAGACAACACUCCCUCCACAGCUCACUCAUCCAGGCUCACCACUGCCACCCCCGAUGUCUCUGGAAGUCCUCCCCUCACCCUGGCCUUCCUCCAGCCCUUCUCAUCCUCCACACUCCCUUUGGCCAGGAUCAGCACAUGGUUUUCCCCUCCUGGGAGCAUCUCCUUCCACAUCCCACUCUCACAAACUCUCGGGGAACUCUUCUCUCUUCCUUCUUCACACUUCUCUGUUUGCAGUUAUACAUUCCUAAGCAUGAUUAUUUGAUUAAUGUCUCCCUUUCCCUACCAUGAAGGCAGAACUACGUCCGAAUUUGUCAUUGUCACAGCACACGCUAAUCAUUCAGGAAUAUUCGGUGGAUUGAAUGACUAGAUAAUUACAACACGCAUUCAGGUGAAGGCAGUGAUGGUGGAUACACAACGGGGAAGAUCGCAACCCCAAACUGAAGGAGGAGGCAUCUUAUUGAGAGAUAAAGGACUCACUGGACUUUUUCUGGCCAGGGCACUGGGGCAGGAGGAGGCUGCUCUGCAUAGCAGGUGAGAACAAGGCUGUGGAACAGGGACUUCUCUGGUGGCGCAGUGGUUAAGAAUAUGCCUGCCAAUGCAGGGGAUGCGGGUUCGAUCCCUGGUCCGGGAAGAUCCCACAUGCCGUGGAGCAACUAAGCCUGUGAGCCACAACUACCGAUCCUGCGCUCUAGAACCCGUGAGCCACAACUACUGAAGCCUAUGCGCCUAGAGCCUGUGCCUUACAACAAGAGAAACCACCGCAAUGAGAAGCUCGCACACUGCAAUGAAGAGGAGCCCCCACUCACUGCAACUAGAGAAAGGCUGAGUGCAGCAUCAAAGACCCAA